GACGAACGCUGGCGGCGUGCCUAAUACAUGCAAGUCGAGCGAAUUUACGAGAGCUUGCUCUCGUAAAUUAGCGGCGGACGGGUGAGUAACACGUGGGCAACCUGCCUAUAAGACUGGGAUAACUUCGGGAAACCGGAGCUAAUACCGGAUAAUUCACAUCUACUCAUGUAGAUGUGCUGAAAGACGGUUUACGCUGUCACUUAUAGAUGGGCCCGCGGCGCAUUAGCUAGUUGGUGAGGUAACGGCUCACCAAGGCCACGAUGCGUAGCCGACCUGAGAGGGUGAUCGGCCACACUGGGACUGAGACACGGCCCAGGCUCCUACGGGAGGCAGCAGUAGGGAAUCUUCCGCAAUGGACGAAAGUCUGACGGAGCAACGCCGCGCG
rnacentral:rRNA from 1 species